AGAGUUUGAUCCUGGCUCAGGACGAACGCUGGCGGCAUGCCUAACACAUGCAAGUCUAGGGGUAGCAAUACCACUGGCGCACGGGUGAGUAACACGUAGGUUAUCUGCCCCUAUCACAGACAUAACCUCGGGAAACCGAGGCUAAUAUCUGAUGAGGUCGUGAGAUCAAAGCUUCGGCGGAUAGGGAUGAGCCUGCGGCUGAUUAGCUAGUUGGUGAGGUAAUGGCUCACCAAGGCGACGAUCAGUAGCUGGUCUGAGAGGACGAACAGCCACACUGGAACUGAGACACGGUCCAGACUCCUACGGGAGGCAGCAGUGAGGAAUAUUGGUCAAUGGGAGCAAUCCUGAACCAGCAAUGCCGCGUGUGGGAUGACAGGGCUUCGCCUUGUAAACCACUGUCGGAUGGGACGAAAGGAACCCUCGGGGUUCUGGGACGGUACCAUCAAAGGAAGGGUCGGCUAACUACGUGCCAGCAGCCGCGGUAAUACGUAGGACCCGAGCGUUGUCCGGAUUUACUGGGUAUAAAGGGUGCGUAGGCGGCCUUGUGCGUCAGAGGUGAAAUAUCCGGGCUUAACCCGGAGGGUGCCUUUGAUACGGCGAGGCUUGAGUGCGAGAGAGGAUGAUGGAAUUCCUGGUGUAGCGGUGAAAUGCGUAGAUAUCAGGAGGAACACCGGUGGCGAAGGCGGUCAUCUGGCUCGUAACUGACGCUGAGGCACGAAAGCGCGGGGAUCAAACAGGAUUAGAUACCCUGGUAGUCCGCGCCCUAAACGAUGUAUGCUUGGUGUUGGGUCCGCAAGGACUCAGUGCCGUAGGGAAUCUGAUAAGCAUACCACCUGGGGAGUACGAUCGCAAGGUUGAAACUCAAAGGAAUUGACGGGGGCCCGCACAAGCGGUGGAUCAUGUGGUUUAAUUCGAUGCAACGCGA
rnacentral:rRNA from 1 species